rnacentral:rRNA from 1 species
GUCUACAGCCAUGCCACCCUGAACGAGCCGGAUCCCAUCUGAUCUUGGAAGCUAAGCAGGGUCGGGCCUGGUUAGUACUUGGAGACAACCCAGGAAGACCAGGUGCUGCAGGCA